UUGUUUUCACAGCCUUGUUCACAGGCAACAAAAACAGGCCACCACUUUUGCAGAUUUUUUGAAGAAAGGACAUGCAAACAUGCCUGUGAAACCUCACUGAUAUAGGCAGCAGUAACCUUGGCGGAAAGAAAAAAUGGCACGGAAACACAGCAAAAAAGAGAAGGUGAAUAGGAAGUGAACAGACAAGAAAAGGUCAAACUAAGCGGCCAACCACAUGCCCAUGGAGAGCCUGGAAGCACAACCUCAGCACAACAGAGCUCUCCCACGUGAAAGCCACAUGAGAAUACAACUGGUAUUCAGAGGCACACUGCUUCCGACAGCGGAGGAGGCAGUGUUUAGCUAGCCCAGUCAGCCAACAAGAGCAAUUGCCUUUGGAAUGAAAAGGAGGAGCAAGAAGCAUUCUUACAAAAUAUGUUGUGUCAUUACUGCAAAGGCCCUCUUCUACAUCUACCACUUCAGAAGAGGAAGAGACUCCAAGCAGGUCCUCCAAAGAUGAUCUUAACGACCCGGCAAACUCAUUUGAGAACAGGUCCCACACAGUUCGUCCAGAGCUUAAAGGCUGUUCACAAUAGCAAAGGGUGUGUGGCCGUGUACGAAAAAUUAACACAGUAGCAAAAUCCCCAUAUGAAGAGAAUAGCUGUGUGCCCAGAAGACUGUCUUUGUUUUUGGUUUCAAAAUCAACAAAGAUGCAAGCAUGCUUUCUGGAUCAAAAAUAUGGAGGACUUUCAGCAUAUGGUUCAGCAUGUAUGUCCUUUUUCUGAUCCUUG